UACGUAGGGUGCAAGCGUUGUCCGGAAUUAUUGGGCGUAAAGGGCUCGUAGGCGGUCUGUCGCGUCGGCUGUGAAAACCCGGGGCUCAACCCCGGGCCUGCAGUCGAUACGGGCAGACUAGAGUGCGGUAGGGGAGACUGGAAUUCCUGGUGUAGCGGUGAAAUGCGCAGAUAUCAGGAGGAACACCGGUGGCGAAGGCGGGUCUCUGGGCCGUAACUGACGCUGAGGAGCGAAAGCGUGGGGAGCGAACAGG
rnacentral:rRNA from 1 species